UCGGUUGUUCUGGUUUCUUCUCCGGAUCUUUGAUCUGCUAAGUUGCCGACAGCCCCUGACAGGGACGGAGCAUUCAGACUGUCUUGUCGAUCAGGUGGAUGAGGCUUUAGCAUAAAAGAGAAUCGACGUGCUGUGCUGGAAGCAGGAGCUGGACAUGUGCUGAAUGCCUGAAUGUAGCUGAUCCUUUGCGUGGAGAGCCACUGGCCAUUUUCUCUCUAUCAAGCAGUCAUCGAAAUUCAUCGAAAAAAAUGUCAUCAAAAUUGGGCUGUCAGAGUCAUUCUGAUGACGGGCAGUAGUUAUUGAAGCGGUCACUACGUAUGCUCAUGACUACUCCAACCUGGGUAUGCUGUUCAAAAUAAUUUAAAGGCCGUAAUGUGUUCAUCUUUUCGAUCAUGUAAAGCUUAAAUCUGCUCACGGGUUUGUAAGGGCCCGUUUGGUAGCCUGGGUGAGUUUUUCGUCUCAUUGGGUCAGAAUGAAACGCACAUCUCGGUUUGAUACGAGUUUCGGGUAAAAAAAGUCACUUUGUUUGACAGCC